rnacentral:rRNA from 1 species
GAUGAACGCUGGCGGCGUGCCUAAUACAUGCAAGUCGAGCGAACAGACGAUGAGCUUGCUCCUCUGACGUUAGCCGCACACGUGUGAGUAACACGUGUAUAACCUACCUAUAAUACUGGGAUAACUUCGGGACACCGGAGCUAAUACCGUAUAAUAUAUUGAACCGCAUGGUUCAAUAGUGAAAGUCGGUUUUUCUGUCUCUUAUAGCUGGAUCUCCGCCGCAUUAGCUAGUUGUUAAGGUAACGGCUUAUCAAGGCAACGAGGCGUAGCCGACCUGAGAGGGUGAUAGGCGACAUGGGAACUGAGACAGGGUCAAGACUACUAAGGGAGGGAGCAGAAGGGAACGUUACGCAGUGGGCGAGAGCUUGACGGAGUAAGGGCGAGUGAGUGACGAAAGUGCUGGGAGCGUAAAAAUCGGCUACUAGGUAAGAACAAAUGUGUAAGGAAAUAAGCAGGUAGUGACGGUAAUUAGUAAGAAAGCAACGGCUAACUACGUG